GACAAAUCUGAAUAGCUUUCAUAUCUGCUUUCUACAGUAAUGGGGUGAACUCUGAGAUAGUGCUGUGCGUCAUGGUAUGACUACUAAUUCGAAUCCUGAAAUAGCUGAGGCACACUGAGUUUGAUAGACAUCAGUACUGGUGGCAAGCAACCCAAAUGUAACCAACUGAGUGUUGAGUACAAAAUUUGUCACAUGACAUUAAA